rnacentral:rRNA from 1 species
AAAUUGAAGAGUUUGAUCAUGGCUCAGAUUGAACGCUGGCGGCAGGCCUAACACAUGCAAGUCGAACGGUAACAGGAAGCAGCUUGCUGCUUCGCUGACGAGUGGCGGACGGGUGAGUAAUGUCUGGGAAACUGCCUGAUGGAGGGGGAUAACUACUGGAAACGGUGGCUAAUACCGCAUAACGUCGCAAGACCAAAGAGGGGGACCUUCGGGCCUCUUGCCAUCAGAUGUGCCCAGAUGGGAUUAGCUAGUUGGUGAGGUAACGGCUCACCAAGGCGACGAUCCCUAGCUGGUCUGAGAGGAUGACCAGCCACACUGGAACUGAGACACGGUCCAGACUCCUACGGGAGGCAGCAGUGGGGAAUAUUGCACAAUGGGCGCAAGCCUGAUGCAGCCAUGCCGCGUGUAUGAAGAAGGCCUUCGGGUUGUAAAGUACUUUCAGCGGGGAGGAAGGUGUUGUGGUUAAUAACCGCAG